GGCCAGAGAAACCCCACUACCCCCACAGUUACCUGCAUUGACUGUAGAUGUUAAAAGAAAUACCACGAUUUUUAAUGGAAAGGUUUAUAAAAAAGUGAAAUGUGCAUCCUUUUUUGGCCUUUUUGCAACGAAACGAAUCCCAGCACGACCACCCGAUGUAGACGACUUCAGUUUUUCUGUAAUCCGACCAGACGAUGUAACAGAUCAUCCCGUAAUCUGUGUCACAUGGAAG